AUUGAAACACUGAUUCCCGUACGAUCACUGAAGUUAAGCAACGUAGAGCCUGGUCAGUGCUUAGAUGGGUAACAUCUCGGUUAUACCAGCUGCUGUAA